UGCAACCUACCUAUCAGAGGGGAAUAACCCGGCGAAAGUCGGACUAAUACCGACAUAAAACAGGGACACCGCAUGGUGAUAUUUGUUAAAGAAAUUCGCUGAUAGAUGGGCAUGCGUUCCAUUAGGUAGUUGGUGAGGUAACGGCUCACCAAGCCGACGAUGGAUAGGGGAACUGAGAGGUUGGUCCCCCACACUGGUACUGAGACACGGACCAGACUCCUACGGGAGGCAGCAGUGAGGAAUAUUGGUCAAUGGGCGAGAGCCUGAACCAGCCAAGUCGCGUGAAGGAAGAAGGAUCUAUGGUUCGUAAACUUCUUUUGCAGGGGAAUAAAGUGCAGGACGUGUCCUGUUUUGUAUGUACCCUGAGAAUAAGGAUCGGCUAACUCCGUGCCAGCCGCGGC
rnacentral:rRNA from 1 species